GACGAACGCUGGCGGCGUGCUUAACACAUGCAAGUCGAACGGAAAGGCCCUGCUUUUGUGGGAUGCUCGAGUGGCGAACGGGUGAGUAACACGUGAGUAACCUGCCCUUGACUUUGGGAUAACUUCAGGAAACUGGGGCUAAUACCGGAUAGGAGCUCCUGCUGCAUGGUGGGGGUUGGAAAGUUUCGGCGGUUGGGGAUGGACUCGCGGCUUAUCAGCUUGUUGGUGGGGUAGUGGCUUACCAAGGCUUUGACGGGUAGCCGGCCUGAGAGGGUGACCGGCCACAUUGGGACUGGGAUACGGCCCAGACUCCUACGGGGGGCAGGAGUGGGGAAUAUUGCACAAAGGGCGGAGGCCUGAUGCAGCAACGCCGCGUGCGGGAUGACGGCCUUCGGGUUGUAAACCGCUUUCGCCUGUGACGAAGCGUGAGUGACGGUAAUGGGUAAAGAAGCACCGGCUAACUACGU
rnacentral:rRNA from 1 species